rnacentral:piRNA from 1 species
UUCCUAUGCAUAUACUUC